rnacentral:rRNA from 1 species
UACGUAGGGCGCAAGCGUUGUUCGGAUUCAUUGGGCGUAAAGGGUGUGUAGGUGGCGCCGUAAGUCGGGUGUGAAAUUUCGAGGCUUAACCUCGAAACUGCAUUCGAUACUGCGGUGCUUGAGGACUGGAGAGGAGACUGGAAUUCAUGGUGUAGCAGUGAAAUGCGUAGAGAUCAUGAGGAAGACCAGUGGCGAAGGCGGGUCUCUGGACAGUUCCUGACACUGAGGCACGAAGGCCAGGGGAGCAAACGGG